rnacentral:lncRNA from 1 species
UCUCAUUGUUAGAGUGGGAUAUUUCUGUGCUAGAUAUGUGACUAUAUUGAACUUAACCUUCUCCCACCUAACCAUGCAUUCUUUCUUGUUCCAGUUUUCUUUAUAUUAUAUUUUCAGAUUCUCAUAUGACACUCAGUGAGAUCACAGACAGAAACCUGGCAUGACUGUCAUCUGAGAGGCUCUACCAGGAGCUGACUGAGACAUAUGCAGAUACUUGUAGCCAACCAUUGGAAUAAGGAGGAAUUGGGAAGUCUUGUGUUUACAGACACAGAAGAACAGCAGCACUACUUGGAUGGCAAGGCAAGAGGAUCACUACAAGUUCAAGGCCAACCUGAGUUACUUAAGUGACUUUCAAACUAGACCGGAUUGCUGUGUGAGACCCUUUCUCAAAACAAAGAUAUUGUGGAUUUAAUACAAAUUGAGUUUUUAAAGCCACUGAAUGCGAAGAGGAUAUAAAACAAAACAAAAGGAAAAUCUCAGCCCAUUUCUGACACUUCCAUAAACCGAAUUUGUGGGUUUGAAUUGCUUCUAUUGGGAGAUGUGCAGUCCCAUGUUCUUUCUAUGAUUGAGUAAACUGCCAAAUAUAUGUCUAUGUGCUUUUAUAUAGUGAGCAGUGACAUCUAAGGGAAUAUUGUAUCUUCAACACUAAACCUUGAAGUUUCUUGAGCUAUAGAAUGUCACAGCCCUGCACAUUCUCCAAGCAAGACUUCAAAAAUAUCCAAAUGUACUUUUAUUUCUCUAGAGUUCAUUUUAAUUAGAAAACAAGCUAGGAUUGUGUUAAAAAUGGU